rnacentral:rRNA from 1 species
CAAUAGCGUAUAUUAAAGUUGUUGCAGUUAAAAAGCUCGUAGUUGAACUUCAGACCUGGCUGAGCGGUCUGCCUUCUGGUAUGUACUGUUCGGCUGGGUCUUACCUCUUGGUGAGCCGGCAUGCUCUUUACUGGGUGUGUCGGGGAACCAGGACUUUUACCUUGAGAAAAUUAGAGUGUUCAAAGCAGGCUUAUGCCCGAAUACAUUAGCAUGGAAUAAUAAAAUAGGACGUGCGGUUCUAUUUUGUUGGUUUCUAGAGUCGCCGUAAUGAUUAAUAGGGAUAGUUGGGGGCAUUAGUAUUCCGUUGCUAGAGGUGAAAUUCUUGGAUUUACGGAAGACUAACUAUUGCGAAAGCAUUUGCCAAGGAUGUUUUCAUUAA